rnacentral:lncRNA from 1 species
CAAGAAAAAAAAUUAAAAAACAAACAUUAACAUUAAACGUUGUGCAAGAAGUUUAGGGUAUGGUUGCUAAAAACGUGCUACAUUUUUGACUCAGUCUUAGUUGCAAUUGAAAUACCUUGAACGUUCACUUAGCAGGUACAUCAUAGAAUUAUAUGCAGUGUAAUGAUAUGAAGUAAACUGAACGCGUAAAUUUCUGUGUAUUUGACUUCAUUUCCUGUAAUAUACCGUCUCCCUGGUCCGCUAUCUAGGCAUUGCAUUACGGUAUACAUGUAGCUCUAGGAACACUAACACUCGUUGUUUAACUAUUUCUAUGAAUGUGUAAGAAAUAUAUAAUAUUAAGAACACUGUGUCAGUGUGAAGUGAACGUUUUCGAUAAUAUAGUCGGAUAAUAUAUUCGUGAUACUCUUUAUUUUGUUGAGAAGUUACUAAACAAUGAUGUUGUGAUCGACGGGAAAACAAUUAUAUGCGAUGUCUAAACUUGAAUGGGAUUGAUUAAAAGAUCAAAAGACCAAUACUGGAAAAGCCGAUGACUGUGACAAAAGGCGCUAAUCGAAGAAAACAAAUAUCAGAGACGAACAAUUACAUAUGCAUAAGAUAUACAUGACCAAGAGAAGAACGAAUAGACAUGCAUAACAUCCCAGGUCAAAUAUUGAACAAGGAUCAGAAGAAAGAAUAGAUUUAGACAUUUGUGAAAGGAACAAUGGAACUCUUUCUGAAACGUAUAACUACAACAAAGAUGUGAUCAUUGUAUUAGAAACUGAAUUUUCCAGUCUUCUAGUGGGUUUAAUUAGCAUACAAUGAUAUAUACCUUCAUGUUUUAUACACUUAUCUUUAAAUUUUUAAAUAUAUAAGAGAAAAUUAUUGCAUUUUAUACUUGGAAUAACUUAAAGCGGAGAUAUGACGUUUCAUUGAGCCUUGAUAUUAGCACAAUUGUACGUGAUAUUAGUAACUCAUUUUAAUGGAAUAUAGCGGAAUUCAGAUACAUCUGUUCGGAAAGCGAUGCGACCCUGACUCAGCCCAUAUGUUUACUCGUAUAGAAUACCUUUUUGAUCUUAUUUGAAAUUCCUUUUUAAAUCAAAAACUAUUUAUUUGUAUGAAUGGGAUCGUUCGACAAAGAUUAAAGAUAUCAGGAAAUUAUUGCUAUAUUUCUUACGAAGCUUUUAAACUUAAGUACUGACAGAUUAUAUGUUACGGAAACACUUCAGAAUUAGUUACUUUAACUAUUUUUCCAUUUUAAAAUUGAAAAGCAUUUGUAACGGGUAUCAAAUGUAAAUUGUCUCAAUUAUAAAGCUUUGUAUAAGCGGCUGUUACAUACGACUGUAUAUUAGUCAAAAUAGUAGGAAAGCUUUUACUGGCGAGGCAACCCAGUUUCAAUUUCUCAGUCGGACAUAUUUUUUGUUGAUUAAGCAUUUUUAAAAUAGUUUAGAAACAAAAGAUCAUGUUCUUAUACUCAUUAUAUUACAAACUUUCCAGAAGGAUCAUUCUUAGCCUAAAUCUGGAGUCCAGGUGUAUUUUAUUUUUUAAUAUACAUUUCUCUGUAAGGCUAUUGUAUUUCUUUUAAAUUGCAUACUUUUACUCUUUGUAUAAGAUACGUUAUUAUUAUUUUGAAUAAGCAUACAGCUGAAGCAUCUUUAGUUCAGCUGCUUUGUCUGUGUGGAUAACAUCAAGGCGUAUAUAUCAAAAACACUAAAAAUAACAGAUAAAAGUGAAAAAUGUAAAUUGAAACAUUCGCAAUAUCUAAUUUUAAUAGAUGAUGUUUUAAAGGAGAUUCAGACAAGGAACUAAAGAACUAGGAAAUUCUACACGGUCGGGUAUGCGUAACACUAUACCACACGGCCGAUUAGUCGAUAAAAAGUAUGUAGAUAUAUUUUUCUAAUUAUGUGGUUGACCUUGCUCAAAUGACAGGUCAGCCCUAUUAAAAUUGCUAGUUUUAUGCAUGUGCAGGCUUUUCAUUUACUUUGCAAAUAAGUUAUAUAUGCAACGAUAAAGAUGUUUACUAAGAUUAACAUAUACAUACACGAGAUACUGGGAAAAAUUAUUAGCCACGGAUAGGGUAGUUUUGAUACAAGAACACCUUUAUAUUUUACUCUGCGGGUCUUAGUCGUGUAACGUAUUGUUGAAAUUACUGUUGUUAUAAUGAUAUCUUUAAUAAUGUGCGUCAUUUCAAGUCUAUGAUUCACAGGUUUUGAUUUAUUCAUGCUAAUGUUAAAGAUCUAGUAAGAAAAGUAUAUUAGCAUAGGCAUUAUUGCUAUACCCUGUAACACCUUUAUACGUCUUUUCACAACAUACAUGUUCAUAUUUGUUAAAGGGAGCAAACUCAAAUAAAAGUGAUCAAUUUUAAAAUCGUUUUUAUAAUUUUGAGUUACGAAGAAACCAAUUAAAGGGAGCAAACUCUAUGAAAGAUAAACGUUUUAUUCUGUAUUUAUUUUGUGCUGUAAUGCAAAUUCUGUGGUUGCAGACUUACAAUGUGUUUCCUAGUGAGUACGUAUUUUAAUAAGAAAUAAUGUAAGACUAUAUAAGCACACAUAUUGUCAACAUAUUACUUACAUUUUAUUAGGGAAAACAUUGUUUAUAUUAUUAACCUGCAAAGAUUAAAUUAAAAUCUGUAAAAUGAU